GACGAACGCUGGCGGCGUGCUUAACACAUGCAAGUCGAACGGGCCCGCCCCUGUUUUUGGGGGUGGGUUGAGUGGCGAACGGGUGAGUAUCACGUGAGUAACCUGCCCCCUGCUCCUGGAUAACUGCUUGAAAGGGCGGCUAAUACGGGGUGUGCUGGCUGGUCCGCAUGGGCCUGGUCGGGAUAGUUUCAUCUUCGGGUGUUUCGGUGGGGGAUGGGCUCGCGGCCUAUCAGCUUGUUGGUGGGGUGAUGGCCCACCAAGGCGGUGACGGGUAGCCGGCGUGAGAGGGUGGGCGGCCACACUGGGAGUGAGACACGGCCCAGACUCGUGCGGGAGGCAGCGGUGGGGGGUAUUGCACAAUGGGCGGAAGCCUGAUGCAGCGACGUCGCGUGAGGGAUGGAGGCCUUCGGGUUGUGAACCUCUUUCUCCGGUGGUGAAGGCCCUGUCCGUUGCGGCGGGGUUGACGGUAGCCGGGUAUGAAGCGCCGGCUAACUACGUG
rnacentral:rRNA from 1 species